UUCAUUUAAAUUUAAGUUAACCAGCAUACUAUUAUGUUGGAAAACAAACAUUGCAUCAAUGACUACAAUCGUUGAAGAAAGUGUCGAUGACACCAAUGAAGAUCCUGAUGAUGUUACAAUAUUGGAAAGCCUAUCUGAUAUAAACAACACAAAACAGAAAAUCACAUUAUCGGUUGAAAAUAAAUACAGAUCGUUGAUAUCAAUUCUUUCUAAUAUGAGCUUACAUGAGUUAUCAUCUUGACUCUGUAGCUUCAUUAAAUCCUUCAGUUACAUCGAGGUUUUAGAGUGUCAUUUCAAAUUAGUAAUGCAAUUGUAUAAUAUGUAACUUAUUUUCUUAACGGGUUUAUUUUUAUUUUUUUUCAUUUACAGAAAAAUAUGGAUCCAAAGUUCAAAGCCAUAUCCAAUUAGUUUGUCUCUAAAAAAACUACAAGGAAUGCUAAAGGAUGAUUUACCUAUGGACCGAGAUUGCUUCAAUUUUGUCAUACGGAAGAUUAUGUUUGAUGACAUCCAAAAGGCAAAAAAAACAAAACAAUUGAUAAAAAAACAUUAUUUGGACAUGAAAUUUUAGCUACAUUCUUAAAUUCAUUAUUUACUUUUUUCUAUAUUCUUAUUUUUUAAUCACCUUUCUAACCAGUUAUUUUUAUGUACUAGAUGACUACUGAUUUUGGACGGCACCCAGAUUUCCGUAAAAAGUUAGAUUUGGAACAACUAGCAAAUUCUGUUCGUAGUUGGCCUGGUAUCAAAUAUAAUGUUUCAAACUGCAAAUCGAUAAGACCACUUUUGUAUACUUUAAACCACACAUUUUUUAUUAUAUCUAAUAUAUGUAUCCUUUUUUAGAUCCAUAUUCCAGUACAAUCAAACAAUGAUUUCAUUCUAUUCACAUUAGACAAAGAUACAAGAACAGUGUACAUUUUGGACCGUACUCCUAUUAAUCCCAUUUACAGAUGCAACCCACUCGCAAAAUAUUUGCACAAAAUUAUAUGGAUUGCAGAACACUUACCAAAAGCAAUGUCAAAAGCAUGUCCUGGGUCUAGAUGGAACGAGAAUAUUCUCCUAUGGCAUCAAAAAAUCCUGGAUGAUAUUCCAGUUCACAACAGGGAACUGUCCGGUUAUAUUGUUCCCAUAUUCAUGUCAACAUGGGAAGACGAAAGACCGCAUUUGCCAUUUUUGAAGGAUGGAUAUGAACUAAGAAAACUAAUUUUGGGCCAACUGUUGACAUUUGAGGACAAUGAAUGUGAGGAUAACAUGCCUGCUGGUGUACUUGAAUUUAUCACUUGUAUAAGGAAAAUCCAACAUAACUCAGGACGUUCGUGUUAUUUUUGAAAAAAGAAGCUUCGCUGUGGGAUUGCAUCUCUGGUGGUAGAUUUGGCUAUCUAGCAAAUGAAAGGGCUUCUCGUAAUUCAAUAAAUAAAGAUCAGUUGGGUGAAUUACAUAUAAUUGGUUGUAAAUGACAUUCAGUUUCUAGCUUACGACAGAAUUUAGACAUGUACUUCUUUAACAAUA